rfam:Pteropus alecto contig102978, whole genome shotgun sequence.
CCUCCCGAGGCAGCUAUCAACAUCUGGGACUGUAGUUGGGGACAGACAUGGGGGUGGGAGCUUGGUCCACGAUGACUCAGCUCUCUUGGGA